rnacentral:rRNA from 1 species
GACGAACGCUGGCGGCGUGCUUAACACAUGCAAGUCGAACGGAAAGGCCCUGCUUUUGUGGGGUGCUCGAGUGGCGAACGGGUGAGUAACACGUGAGUAACCUGCCCUUGACUUUGGGAUAACUUCAGGAAACUGGGGCUAAUACCGGAUAGGAGCUCCUGCUGCAUGGUGGGGGUUGGAAAGUUUCGGCGGUUGGGGAUGGACUCGCGGCUUAUCAGCUUGUUGGUGGGGUAGUGGCUUACCAAGGCUUUGACGGGUAGCCGGCCUGAGAGGGUGACCGGCCACAUUGGGACUGGGAUACGGCCCAGACUCCUACGGGAGGCAGCAGUGGGGAGUAUUGCACAAUGGGCGGAAGCCGGAUGCAGCAACGCCGCGUGCGGGAGGACGGCCUUCGGGUUGUAAACCGCUUUCGCCUGUAACGAAGCGUGAGUGACGGUAAUGGGUAAAGAAGCACCGGCUAACUACGU